rnacentral:misc_RNA from 1 species
AAGUCGUAACAAGGUCUCCGUAGGUGAACCUGCGGAGGGAUCAUUAUAGAAAACAUAGCUAUAACAAUUGUGACAGGAAGAGGGGGGAGGAGGUCAAUUUUUUUGGGAUUGGUUUUGUUUCUCUUUUUCCUGGACACAAACAAACAAACAACACACAUGACUAGGAAAUGGAAAAGUGAAGUGGUGGGAAUGUGAGGGAGAGAAGCGGCUUGGCUGGCUUGGCUUGCUUGAGUCGGAUCUUCCCACACACGCACACACACACACAAGUUCUUGUCUGAUAAGUAGCUUAGUGAUUUGGGCAAGUUACUACAACUCAAUACAACUUUCAACAACGGAUCUCUUGGCUCUCA